AUGAUGAUAAUGGACUGAACCUCAGAACCAAGUCAGGACACUGACACAGUGAGCUGAGCUCUGGACUGAGCUGGCCCAGGACUGGGGUUACUGGAUCCACGUCACCUCCAACUGCUGCCGUUCAAGAAUAGCCUAUACAAACAAUCCUGGAAUAAGAUGGGACAUGUUGAGUGUGUUUGAGGCCUGCAGAGGCCUUUCUUCUACCUCAGAAAAGGAGCCAGGAUACAAGAGAUGCUGGAAGACUUAAGUGUAAAGCUCAGCCCUGUCACUGAGUCACCCGGGUCACUUCCUGGCAUGAAAUCAAGGCAUAAGCCCCAUCAGAAAUACCUGCUGUGCCCGUGGAGGGGGAUAAAGGUGUGUAACUGUCCUACACGCUGCUGUUUUCAGUCAUUGUGAUCUGAACACUCCUGUUAUGAGUGGGCGGCGACUGCGCAGUGGCUUUUGUUUUGAUGAACUGUGCUUUUCUUUGCCAUUCCUGAGACUAGCGUAGUCUCCCUGACUCUGAAGACCAGCAACAAUUUAUGAUAUGUGUGAGUCAUCGUGGGAGAGUUACAGAGGAAGAGCAGAAGUCACCCUUGGGUCACAGUCCAAUAGCAUUCAAAGGGAUGAGCAAAGCCUGCGGUGACUGCUGGAGCAGUCUGGAUGCAAAUCUGUAUGCUACCCAAAUGCCAAAGGCUCUCCUUGUCCCGACCGGCUGGUGCUGGCUUUACUGAGACUGUGUCAUAUGCUCUGCUGAGGACAUAGUGCCUGCUUGUGACUUCUCAUGGUCUGCAUAAUAGAGACAGGUAAAUGGGAAAGGAAGUUUCAAGUUGAUGUCAGGUCUGACGGCAAGUGCAGGGCUCAGGGACUGAGAAACAAGAAUCUCAUCGCCUGUGAUUAAAACCCACAGAACACCAGGCAAGAGAAACAAGAAAGAACAGUUGGCCUUCAGUGAAACUAGAGAUGAUACACUUGGAACAAUAAAAAUGACCCCGCUUCAGGCUGGAGUUGUACAUCAGUGGUGGAGCGAUUACCCACCUAGCAGGGCAAGCACCGGGGCACCAUCCCCAGCAGGGAGAAAAAAGUUUUCACAACGACAUCAGACAUUUACACAAGGGUCUAGUCCUUAAACCUAAGUUGAAAAGCCUUUCUACAAGCAAGGACUGACUUCUGAUUCUAGUUUAGUUGCUCUCUCUGCUUGUGAGGCCCCAGCAGGCCUGCUGGUUUCUUUAGGAUCUAUUUUCCCAUGUAGAGGCAGAGGUAGAGGUAGAGAUAGAGGUAGAGGUAGAGGUAGAGGUAGAGGUAGAGGUAGAGGUAGAGGUAGAGGUAGAGGUAGAGGUAGAGGUAGAGGUAGAGGUAGAGGUAGAGGUAGAGGUAGGGGGUGUGGAAAGAUGGCUUAGUUGGUAAGAGUACUGGCUGCUCCUGUACAAGACCAGAGUUUGAUUUUCAGCACCCACAUCAGAUGACUCAACUGCCUGCAACUCUAGCUACAGGGGAUCUGACAGCCUCUUCAGCCUCCAGGAGCACUCUCUCACACGCACACUUGUACAUACACACAUGCACACAAUUUUUUUUUAAAAAACCUUAAAAAGCAAAAACAGAUUUCUCCAAGCUUUAUAAGGUCUCAAACUCGGUCUGAGCUACAGUCCUUCAAACGCUCCCAGAGGCCACCUCCACGGCGUGACAUUUAUCACCUUCUAAUGAGCACUCUGCUCCUGUGUCCUGGGUUCUGGAUCUGCAGACUCACCAACUGUCAAUCAAAAGCACUCCGAAUGGCUGCAUCAUUGGCUCUGUGGUCAGCCCUGGGAACCAGAGAUUAAAAGGCUAUCAGAGCCGGGCAGUGGUGGCGCAUGCCUUUAAUCCCAGCACUCGGGAGGUAGAGGCAGGUGGAUUUCUGAGUUUGAGGCCAGCCUGGUCUACAAAGUGAGUUCCAGGACAGCCAAGAAACCCUGUCUCAAAAAACCAAAAAAAAAAAAAAAAAAAAGUCCGACAGAGUUUCUGUUGAAGCACACAGGUGAGAAGAAAGGUAUCGUUUCAUCACCCAAAAUAUGGCAGUGGCAUAUUUUGUGCAAGAGACUGUUAGAAAUGCAGCCUGAGGCUUGAGAUGAGAACCUGGUUUUUGUGUUCUAGACACAUUGCUCCUCAUGGUGCAGGACUGUGGGAAGAUUGGGGUCGAUAGAAGGCUGUCCAUGUCUGAGGUCAGGGAAGGCGUCCCCAGGGAAGCCACCCCUGGAUAGUCUUGUAAGAUGCCUGGGAACUUACUGGUUUGAGACAGAGAGAAAGGAGACCCUAAGCAGGGGAAGGGGCCGCGUGAGACUGGAGAGUAUGGAGAGAAGAGCUGGCUUUUGAACCUAUCUAUCUACUAUAUUAAGGAAUUUAAGUUUCUUUCCUUUCCUGAGCGCAGGCCAGGCAGCGCAUGACCGAUGUGCUAAUGACCUGGUUCAGAGUGGAAUUAUGUUUUCAAGGAAGAAAAAAAAAAUCAGUAAAGACCAGUUCCCUCCAGGUUUGCUCCAGCAGGUGGAAAGGUCUGAGACUUUGAAGGGAAACACACACACACACACACACACACACUCCAACACAAGGCAAGGAAAAUGAGAAAGGCCUAAACAUUAUGAUAAAAUACAGUGGUAAUUUUUCUUGGAGGCAAAGUAGCAACUGUUUAACCCUUCUCACAGAUUGAAAAGCAGAGCAGACAGAGGCCUGUCUAGCACUAGCUGGAAUCAGUUCUGAUGUGAGACUCAAGGUCAGUUCUGGUGUGUGUAAGGCAGUGGCCUGCACCCUGGAUGCUGUCUGAGUGUGAGUUCCCUCCCCGUGCAGGUCCAGGACUUCGUUCAUCCCCUGGCUGGAUAGAUCCUCUCAUUGUUGAGCUAGAGGAAGCCAGGGGUUUUAAAGAAAGGCAGAGGACAUUAGUCAUGUUCUGCUAUUAUAGCACUAUUGAUUUCCUAAGUACGUGUCUCUGUGUGGAAUAAUACAGCCAUCCAGUCCAGCAUGGGUAACUCAGAGACUGCCCUUCUGAGAGAUUAACGACCAACACCUGCCUGAGCCUCACUGCAGCACACCCUUGUCGGGCUGAGGAAAGCUUAUAUAAUCCCUCAAGACUUAAUGGCUUCGCCCGCUCUUGGUUCCUUGCUUUUAGUUGACUUUUUAAGCCAUCCAUUUAUAGGGUAGAUUAAUACCACUGAGCUGUGAGGUUGGUGAAGAUAGAUUGCCCACACGGAGACUCCGCCUACUUCCUAGCCUCCAGUCACCUUCCCACACCUCUGCCAGUGAGUAUCCCUAGGUUCCCUCCUUAGGGAGGAGAAUUCAGAUGCACUGUCCCACCUGCCCAUGGAGCCUCUUUGUGAGAAAAUGCUGUUCUCCAAAACUGGCCAUGGCAGUGAUCUGGGCAUGUGCAUAGUGGGCAAACUAUAGACUUCCCAGGGGCAAUUCAGCCAUCGGGAGAAGUAGGAACAGUGAUUAUGGACUAAAAAGUGGAGUGUUUGUCAUUAGGACGAAAGUUCACUGCAGUGUGCACAAGGACAAAAAGAGAGAGGAAAGGGGGAAGGAAAAGUGGUUGGAAAAGAGGAGGCUAGAUGCUGGCUCCUCCCCCGACUCUCAGUACUGUUAGUACGUGUAGUACCUUUAAGGUCCUUUGUCCAGGGCGCAUGGCUUGCAUGGUGGUCCCUCUCUUUGACAUGGGGGCUGAGCAAUGCUAUCCCUUUCUAUGGAAGGAAUAUCUGGAUUGGCAGGGUUCUGGGGACCACGUGGCUGUGUGUGGCUCUGGAUCAAAUGCGAAGAACAAAGCUGCUUUUGUAUGCAUUUAAAACAAUUAACUAAGAGAAACAGAGGUCAGAGUGACAUCGAAAACAUCCCGAGUUCCAGGAAGGGAACAUUCUGGUACAGAUGAAUUAGUGACGCAUCGGGGUCAGGAAACCUAACGCAUACCAAGCAGAAGAGAUGAAAAGGGAACCAAACGAAUUGUAGAGCAGCAGGACCUGACGGGCAGAGGGGCCGGGCUUCUCAUAACAAGGCCAAUGCUACCAGAGCCGGGAUUUUGACUUCUGAAGGAUUUUCUCUUGUAAACAUGCUAUAUUGAGAGGCUAUGACAUCGUGUUCUAAUUAAAGCAGUUUUUAAAGUUCUUUAAAGCAGAGUCUUAUUUCUUAUUUUCUUUUAUUUGUAUGCAGUAGCUAGCCCUUCCAGUAUUGAAAGGGAGCAUACUCGUCGUCUUCCUGACCAUACCAGAAAGGCUUUUAGUCCCUCCCACUGAAUAUCACCUAACACUUUUUGUGUAUGUUACCAAGGUAGGAACCUUCCCGUCUAGUCCUAGUUUCCCGAAGGUUUAAAUCGUGAACGGAAACUGGAUUUUCCCGGAUGCCUUUUCUGUGUCUAUUGAUGUGAUGGUAUUUUCCUCCUUCUGGCAGCGCUAGAGACCAAACUCAGGGCCCCGCAAUAUGGAAGGCUAUAUGCCCCGCCUCUAUUUUAUUUAGACUGUUAAUGUGAUGGCUUGAUUAUACGAAUUAAAAAAAAAAAUACUACCCAGCCUUAUAUAUCUGGGAUAGAUUCCAUUUGGUAAUGAUGUACAUCUAAAAUUUAUGCUGUUGGACUUAAGUAGCUAACUCUCUGUUCAAAACUUUUACUUUUAAGUCAAGAGAUACUGGUCUAUAAUUUGUUUUCUUUAAAGGUGUUGCUUGGUUUUGUUGUUGAGGGUAGUGUUUACCUUAUAGCAUGAGCUAGGUGAGUUCCCUUCUACUCUCCAAAACACACUCUCGACAGUUGCUUUAAGACCUUCAUUUCAUAGGAUUCCUUAGGAAUCAUGGUGUGGGAGCUUUCUGUUUGGAAGGUCAUUAGCUACUGAUUUACUGAUUUCUUCCUGUAAUUUGUGGCUGAUGCUUUUCAAAUAUAGGUCCAUUUCUUUUAAUGUAUCAAAUUUGUGAGCAUUAGGUUCCCAAUCCUCGAUUAUUAUAUUAUGUCUCAGGAUAUGCAGUGAUACCCACUUCUCAUUUCCAAUAGUAACGAUAAAAUGUACCUUUUUUUCCCCCCAUAGCUGAAACAAAGGCUUAUUUGUUCGAUUAAUCAUUUUGAACAGCCUUUGGGUUUUUUUCCUGCCCUUUAGUGUUGCAUUUUACCAGUUUGUGUGAUGUGGAAACUUUACAUCUAUUUGCUUUCUGCCCUCAAAUAUUUAUAUCUGAGUCAUUGCUUCAUUUCCCCUUCAUAUAAUAAAGUCACCUUUAACUUUGAUAAACAUUUGAAAAAUCUUGAGGUUUGUCAUACCUUUAUUUCAACUACAUUUCUUUUCUGAUCUUCCAAUAUCAUCAUAAUCUUCUCCUCCUCCUUUUUUUUUUUUUUUUUUUUUAAACAUUUCAUUUCUUUUAAGAGCUUUGGCCAGGCUAUUAGUCAGGUCAGCUGCCAACAGGUUCUCUUGGCUUUCCUGCGUCCAAGACUGUCAUGGUGCUCUCUCCCACUGAAUUAUGUUCUCGCUGAAUUCUUUUGGCGACCGUGCAGUCUGCAGCACUCCCUUCCCAUCUUUAUGGAUUCUGAUAAAUCCAGUCAUUUGAACUGUUUGUCCUGGAAUAUGUCCUUGCUCAUUACUUUCAAGAUUUUUUUUUCUUUAGUUCUUGGAAGUUACCUUGCAUUCUGGGGCAUUUUGUUUGAGCUUGACAAGUUUCAUAUGUCAUUCGCCAAAUUGGGAAAUGUAUAGAAAUUUUUUCUCUGAACACUUUUAACCACAUCUUCUUUCUCAUUUCCUUCUGCAUGCAGCACUUCCCAGCUGUUGGUUUCUCUAGUGAGAGCAGAGUUUACAAAGUAACAAGAAUAUCCACAGGAACCCCUGUUGUUGACUCCCAGGGUCUCUAGCUAGUCUGCCCCUUUCCUUCUACUUCUUUCAGUGUACCAGUUUUGUUUUUGUACUUAAACACACACACACACACACACACACACACACACACACACACACACACACACACACACACACGUCCAUGGGUCUUAUCUGUAUUUAACCAGGAUAAUGACAAUUAUGUCUAAGUGCUCUUUUAAAUUAGUCCUCUAUUAUGCAUGUGUUAUUAUGUGUGUGUUAUUGUGGGCACAUCUUUUUAAGAUGUAUUGAUUACAGAUGAAAUGUCUCAGAUGAACUCCCUAAUUUAGAGGUAGGUAGUAGGCAGGAAUGUAGUAAAGGUGAAAUGGGGGAUAAAUUAAUCAUCAGAAAAGAUGGUGGAUAUACUUACGUUCAUUUCUCUAGCUUUUGGGUAUGUGUAAAAUACACACCCAAGCUUUUCUAACUACUCACUCUAACUGACAUGACAGGGCUUUAUGAGACUCGUGAGCACCUAUGUUCCUUCUAGAGCAUAAACUUGCUAAGAGUUUGUUAGUUACAAGUAUAUAUAGUACCAGAGCUUAGAAUAGACUGGCACACAGUUGCCACUAACAUUACCAUGGUUCCUCAAAUGUAAGAUUCCUCGGAUUAUAAAAUGUACCUUACACAUAUGUAUCAUUAAGUACUGUAAGUUUUUAGAAAUAUUCUGAUGUUAGAUGCUAGAAUUAUUCUGAAGGCACACAAGGCCCAGGUUUUGGUGCUGUCUUCACACAUGUUCAAGACCAGAGUCAGGGUAUAGCUCUGUGGUGGCCAACUCUAGUCACACUGAAACUUUACACCCCAGACUUUAGUCUGCUCUGUUACAACCUCGACAGAAAACGACAACCUGCUAUGCAGGCCUAUCUCUUCAUCAAGGACUCCCUAGGAUUUUCCAUCCCUCAGACUCCCGCGGUUUAAAUACUAUGCUACUAAAUGAAAUCCUUCUGUUACUUUUUACCUUCUAUUGAUUACAUUUAUACUGUUCAGCCUGACUGAGGUGAUAUAAAUCCAGCUACAGCAAAAGCUUAUCUAUCCAGGCUGCAUGGACUCACUCCAGGAAAACAAGCAUUUCCAACAGGAAACCACUUUUAAAAACUAGUUAUUUAUUUGACAUACAAAGUACUAGGCUUCAUUAUGGCAUUUUUUUUUUGUUUGUUUGUUCCUUUUCUUCCCAAUUCUUGGGCAUACCCUGCACCCCUUGAACCCUCUGCUCCUAGUGGACACCUUUGCACCUCCAUGUCACGUGUGUUCUAUUGUCCUCUUUACCCUUCAGAGCUGCUUCCUCCGAGUUCAGGGCCUACUGACGUGAGCACUGUUAAGGAGUCUAGACAGCUCACCCACACUAUGUGUUAAGUCACUUGUUAUGCAACUCUUCAAAGUCAAGUGUCUAUAAAGUUCAGUUCUGGUGAACGGACAUAAUGUGGGUUCUUACUGGUUUUCCAACUGACAGCAAAACGAUGCAACUGGUUUCUCUGGGUUAAACUGGAACAAGGCAGUAAAAAGAAAAUGCCAUUUUGGGUUCUAGGUCAUUCAACCUCACUCUGAGUACAGGGGAGACGUCACUCAUUUUUGCCUGUACAGAGGCACACUGAAACUCCUUCCUAAAGUGAGCCUCGGACAUGCGGGUGGGAUAGAAGGAAACACGGACUAGCUCUGUUGUGUUCUCUGUGUAACUGUCCCUCAUCAGUCGGUUCUGCUUCAUUAAUCUGAGCCCAGCAGGACAUACUGAUACCAAGAUACACUGACAGUCACCUCAUCAGGCUUCACUCCUGGCAACCCUAUAUGAGGCAGCUAGUAGAUGGCCAUGUCACAACCCCUGCACAAACUGGGAGCUGGGCGGAAGCUUCUGUCCUCUGGAUUAUCAGCGGUCCUCUAGCCUGGCUCUAUAAUUUUUGUUACAAUUACUUGCGUCAUCAUUUGACUGACUAAGAGAAAGAGGUGUGGGAAUAGAAAGAGAAGGAAAUAAAAUAUAUCCAUAAAUCUGUUAGCAAAGCAUAGAAUAGCUGGAAGGGAAAGAGAUUUUAGCAUCAGUGGGGAUAAGGCCAGACUCCUCUAGAUUUGUGAUUUGAUCAAAAAAGUCUUAGUUGUUGCAGUAAAGAGCUUCAUCAAUGACAACUGGUAGCCUUCGGGCCAAAGCCCAUUAUCCUCCCGAUUUUUGUACAAAAGGGAAGAGCUAAGGCUCUGGACCAGGACCCAUUUUUUUUUCUGCCAGUGCUGGCAAAGGAGCUCAGAGCAUCUAACAAAAGCUUUGUGGUAUCAGGACUUGACUUUUAUUGGCUUUUGCUGACAGCUAGACUGGAACCAGAACUUUGGAAGUCUGAAAAAGGGUUUUCAUGAUUUCAUUUUAAUCAGUUAAUGUAAGACUGGCUUUGGUUUCCAGAUUAGCCUCACAGACAUCGAUUAUAGGUUAUCUUGUUGAUGGUUUUAAAAAUACAAUUGUGAGUAAAAGAUUUGAAACAGGGCUUUUCAAAAGCUCAGACCUCAUUGUCCUCUGUCCUUGGUUGGUGGGUUUUAUGUACUCCUGCAGACACAACACAAAUGCUUAUAUGUAUGAAUAAAAUAUAAGUGGCAUGGGAGUUUCUGACAAAUGAUUUAUUAAUGAAAUUUAUUAACUCUAAUAUUUCCUGCCAGAGAAACUUCCAUAUGUACAAAUCAGCAUCAAGUCUCCAGCAAAGACCUUUGGUUACAGGACUAUGCCCUCAGCACCACAGAACAAGCACUCACCCUAGCUGCAAAGGAAAAACAAGUCUUGAAAAAAACAAAAACCCCAACGCUCUUGAACCUGGCUUCUUUAUAGCAUCCGAGGAAAAUCCUUUUAUUCUACAUUUUCUUUCCUCUUGGCCAGCUUCUAAAAUAGCGCUGGGGAAAAAAGGACGAAAAAAACCGUUACUUAUAGGGAUGAUGUUUCAAAAGAGAAACUGGAAAUUAGUCUGCCUUAAAUAGAAAAUAGUUUUAGCCUAAAAGAUACUAGCAUUAAGUAACAUAAGAAAAACUUCAACUUCCAAAAUUGAAAAUGUAGACAACACAAGCCUAACAAGGGUUGGGAGUGAGAAGCUCACAGGUAAAUCUGCAGCAAACUCAGAUUUCUGGAUUUGUAACUUCCUCCAAGUGUGAUGGUAUCUGCUAGCCACCAAAGCAGUCUGGACAACACACAGACAGGAAGAGAAAGAUCUAGAAGCUGAGUGCAACCUUUCUUGAGUUUUCCCAAGAAAUCAAGUUGGAAAAAAAAAA